rnacentral:rRNA from 1 species
AAAAGAAACCAACAGGGAUUGCCCUAGUAACGGCGAGUGAAGCGGCAACAGCUCAAAUUUGAAAUCUGGCUUCGGCCCGAGUUGUAAUUUGCAGAGGAAGCUUUAGGCGCGGCACCUCCUGAGUCCCCUGGAACGGGGCGCCACAGAGGGUGAGAGCCCCGUAUAGUUGGAUGCCUAGCCUGUGUAAAGCUCCUUCGACGAGUCGAGUAGUUUGGGAAUGCUGCUCAAAAUGGGAGGUAAAUUUCUUCUAAAGCUAAAUACCGGCCAGAGACCGAUAGCGCACAAGUAGAGUGAUCGAAAGAUGAAAAGCACUUUGAAAAGAGGGUUAAAUAGCACGUGAAAUUGUUGAAAGGGAAGCGCUUGUGACCAGACUUGCGCCGGGCCGAUCAUCCGGUGUUCUCACCGGUGCGCUCUGCCCGGCUCAGGCCAGCAUCGGUUCUCGCGGGGGGAUAAAGGCCCUGGGAACGUAGCUCCCUCGGGAGUGUUAUAGCCCGGGGCGCAAUGCCCUCGCGGGGACCGAGGUUCGCGCUCUGCAAGGAUGCUGGCGUAAUGGUCAUCAGCGACCCG